rnacentral:rRNA from 1 species
UACGUAGGGAGCAAGCGUUGUCCGGAAUCAUUGGGCGUAAAGCGCGCGUAGGUGGCUUCGUAAGUCCGCUGUGAAAGUCAAAGGCUCAACCUUUGAAAGCCGGUGGAUACUGCGGGGCUAGAGUACGGAAGAAGCGAGUGGAAUUCCUGGUGUAGCGGUGGAAUGCGCAGAUAUCAGGAGGAACACCAAUAGCGAAGGCAGCUCGCUGGGACGUUACUGACACUGAGGCGCGAAAGCGUGGGGAGCGAACAGG